rnacentral:lncRNA from 1 species
AAAUAGCCCUUAAGUGUUUCUACGAACAAUUGUACGGAUUAUCGGUUCAAUUACGAUCCUUACAUUCUAACCUUAUAGAUUUAGUUAGACAUGGUAAAAUAAAAGUGCAUUUAAAUUUAAAUAAAAGUAGUGCGAGUGCGGAAAGUAAAUAAAAGUAGUGCGAGUGCGGAAAGUAAAUAAAAGUAGUGCGAGUGCGGAAAGUAAAUAAAGUAGUGCGAGUGCG